AAAUCUAGCAUAUUGCUAAUAUUAAGCAUUUUAUUAUCUAUCUUUUUAAUAACUGGACUCGUUCUAGCUUAUGUUCUCCCCUUUGCCACAAUUAAGACAGAACUUUUUUCUUUAAAUCUAAGAGUAUAUGGGACCAGCAAUGAUGUUAACAACUAUUAUGACUUAGCAACUUGUAAACUUCAUUUAAGUGACCAAAUGAACUUUUUAUCGGGAGCGAUAGGACCUUUUGACCAGGACUGCCAUAGAUACAAAAAAGUGGUACUUAUUUGCUCUACUGCACUUUUGGCAUUAUUUGUUAUUAAUCUAUUGGCUUUAUGCGCUUCCCCUUGGCUAAAGUUUUUGGCUUCUAUAUCUGUGGCAGUAGAGAUUUUAGGGAUAUUAUUGCUAAUUGCUAAGGUUUGUUUCUUGGAAUUUUUCUUCAAAAUUCCGACAAUGUCAAUUCAAAAAUAUUAC